rnacentral:lncRNA from 1 species
GCUUUGUGGAAUAGAAAGGCGGGAAAGGUGGGGAAAAGAUUGAGAAAUCGGAUGGUUGCCGUGUCUGUGUAGAAAGAAGUAGACAUGGGAGACUUUUCAUUUUGUUCUGCACUAAGAAAGAUUCUUCUGCCUUGGGAUCCUGUUGAUCUGUGACCUUACCCCCAACCCUGUGCUCUCUGAAACAUGUGCUGUGUCCACUCAGGGUUAAAUGGAUUAAGGGCGGUGCAAGAUGUGCUUUGUUAAACAGAUGCUUGAAGGCAGCAUGCUCGUUAAGAGUCAUCACCAAUCCCUAAUCUCAAGUAAUCAGGGACACAAACACUGCGGAAGGCCACAGGGUCCUCUGCCUAGGAAAACCAGAGACCUUUGUUCACUUGUUUAUCUGCUGACCUUCCCUCCACUAUUGUCCCAUGACCCUGCCAAAUCCCCCUCUGUGAGAAACACCCAAG